AUUGAACGCUGGCGGCAUGCCUUACACAUGCAAGUCGAACGGUAACAGGUCUUCGGAUGCUGACGAGUGGCGAACGGGUGAGUAAUACAUCGGAACGUGCCUAGUAGUGGGGGAUAACUACUCGAAAGAGUGGCUAAUACCGCAUGAGAUCUACGGAUGAAAGCAGGGAAUCGCAAGACCUUGUGCUACUAGAGCGGCCGAUGGCAGAUUAGGUAGUUGGUGGGAUAAAAGCUUACCAAGCCGAAGAUCUGUAGCUGGUCUGAGAGGACGAUCAGCCACACUGGGACUGAGACACGGCCCAGACUCCUACGGGAGGCAGCAGUGGGGAAUUUUGGACAAUGGGCGCAAGCCUGAUCCAGCAAUGCCGCGUGCAGGAUGAAGGCCUUCGGGUUGUAAACUGCUUUUGUACGGAACGAAAAGCCCUGGGUUAAUACCCUGGGGUCAUGACGGUACCGUAAGAAUAAGCACCGGCUAACUACGUGCCAGCCGCCGCUGUAAGAC
rnacentral:rRNA from 1 species